rnacentral:rRNA from 1 species
GACGAACGCUGGCGGCGUGCUUAACACAUGCAAGUCGAACGGAAAGGCCCUGCUUGUGUGGGGUGCUCGAGUGGCGAACGGGUGAGUAACACGUGAGUAACCUGCCCUUGACUUUGGGAUAACUUCAGGAAACUGGGGCUAAUACCGGAUAGGAGCUCCUGCUGCAUGGUGGGGGUUGGAAAGUUUCGGCGGUUGGGGAUGGACUCGCGGCUUAUCAGUUUGUUGGUGGGGUAGUGGCUUACCAAGGCUUUGACGGGUAGCCGGCCUGAGAGGGUGACCGGCCACCUUGGGACUGAGAUACGGCGCAGACUGCUACGGGAGGCAGCAGUGGGGAAUAUUGCACAAUGGGCGGAAGCCUGAUGCAGAAACGCUGCGUGCGGGAUGACGGCCUUCGGGUUGUAAAACGCUUUAGCCUGUGACGAAGCGGGAGUGACGGUAAUGGGUAAAGAAGCACCGGCUAACUACGUG